UUUGGUUUGAAAUCGAAUCGUAAAAGCCUGUAAUAAAAAGGUCCGGCGUAGACCAUGAUUAGUUUAUUCGCAAAUUAUUCGCGAAUUUUUGAGAAAACGAAUUAAACUGCCGAAUCCGUAUUUUUUCGGAAAAUUCGGAAAAAACACAUUUUUUGAGAAAAAAUAAUUAUUCGCAAAUUAUUUUUCCAAAUAAUUAUUCGAAAUCCGUAUUUUUCCAAAUAAUUAUUCACCUCAUAGAUGAGUAAAAUUUAACUCACCCGCCAGUCUCUCGAAUAGGGAUGCAAAUGGAUCCGGGGUGGUGGAGCUCCCGCCCCGAUCCGCCCCGAAUGGGGUAGUAAACAGGAGGAAAUAAACGGAUUCAUGGCAGGAAAUGGGGCAAUUUUAUGAUCCGUGAAGGAUUCGGGGUAGGAAACGGGAAAAUUUUUGAUCCG
rnacentral:lncRNA from 1 species